rnacentral:rRNA from 2 species
GGCGUCACGUCAUCCGAGUUGUAAUCUAUAGAAGCGUUUUCCGCGCCGGCUCAUGUACAAGUCCCUUGGAACAGGGCGUCAUAGAGGGUGAGAAUCCCGUCCUUGACAUGAACCACCGGUGCUAUGUGAUACGUUUUCAACGAGUCGAGUUGUUUGGGAAUGCAGCUCAAAAUGGGUGGUAAAUUCCAUCUAAAGCUAAAUAUUGGCGAGAGACCGAUAGCGAACAAGUACCGUGAGGGAAAGAUGAAAAGCACUUUGGAAAGAGAGUUAAACAGUAUGUGAAAUUGUUGAAAGGGAAACGAUUGAAGUCAGUCAUGUCCUUGGGAUUCAGCCUGUUCUGCAGGUGUACUUCCCUUGGAUGGGGUCAACAUCAGUUUUGAUCGCCGGAUAAAGGCUGGAGGAAGGUAGCACUCUCGGGUGAACUUAUAGCCUCCUGUCGCAUACGGUGGUUGGGACUGAGGAACGCAGCUUGCCUUUAUGGCCGGGAUUUAUCCACGUAC